UGGCGAGUGGCGGACGGGUGAGGAAUACAUCGGAAUCUGCCUAUUUGUGGGGGAUAACCUCGGGAAACCGGGACUAAUACCGCAUACGACCUYGGUGAAAGCCGGGGACCUUCGGGCCUGGCGCAGAUAGAUGAGCCGAUGUCGGAUUAGCUAGUUGGCGGGGUAAAGGCCCACCRWGGCGACGAUCCGUWKCUGGYCUGAGAGGUGGMUCASCCUAACUGGAACUGAGACACGGUCCARACUMAUACGGGAGGCAGCAGUGGGGAAUAUUGGACAAUGGGCGCAAGCCUGAUCCAGCCAUGCCGCGUGGGUGAAGAAGGCCUUCGGGUUGUAAAGCCCUUUUGUUGGGAAAGAAAAGCAGCCGGUUAAUACCCGGUUGUUCUGACGGUACCCAAAGAAUAAGCACCGGCUAACUUCGUGCCAGCAGCCGCGGUAAUACGAAGGGUGCAAGCGUUACUCGGAAUUACUGGGCGUAAAGCGUGCGUAGGUGGUUUGUUAAGUCUGAUGUGAAAGCCCUGGGCUCAACCUGGGAAUUGCAUUGGAUACUGGCAGGCUAGAGUGCGGUAGAGGGUAGUGGAAUUCCCGGUGUAGCAGUGAAAUGCGUAGAGAUCGGGAGGAACAUCCGUGGCGAAGGCGACUACCUGGACCAGCACUGACACUGAGGCACGAAAGCGUGGAGAGCAAACAGGAUUAGAUACCCGGGUAGUCCACGCCCUAAACGAUGCGAACUGGAUGUUGGGUUCAACUAGGAACUCAGUAUCGAAGCUAACGCGUUAAGUUCGCCGCCUGGGGAGUACGGUCGCAAGACUGAAACUCAAAGGAAUUGACGGGG
rnacentral:rRNA from 1 species